ACAGCUGGCAGAGGGGACUGUUGAGGUGAGUCCUCCAGCAAGGAUCACAGGAGGAGACAGACAGCCCCAUCCAGGGAACGGAGACACAACUUUCGUGGGAAAUUCACAGGUCUUUCACGGAAGUGGAGCGUCUGUCCCAGACACUGGCUUAAGGAAGUACCUGGAAAUUUCGUGGU
rnacentral:lncRNA from 1 species